rnacentral:rRNA from 1 species
UACGUAGGGUGCAAGCGUUAAUCGGAAUUACUGGGCGUAAAGCGUGCGCAGGCGGUUAUGUAAGACAGAUGGGAAAUCCCAGGGCUCAACCUUGGAACUGCAUUUGUGACUGCAUAGCUAGAGUACGGUAGAGGGGGAUGGAAUUCCGCGUGUAGCAGUGAAAUGCGUAGAUAUGCGGAGGAACACCGAUGGCGAAGGCAAUCCCCUGGACCUGUACUGACGCUCAUGCACGAAAGCGUGGGGAGCAAACAGG